CCAGGCUGGCACACUGUGGCCAGCCACCCGGCUCCACUGACUGGCGGUUUCGUGUCUGGCUCCCUGAGGUCCAGAUGGUCCCAACACGUCCCUGGGGGGUAAGCAGACUCCUGCCCAAACUUGAACUCACAGCUCCAGCCCCCAGAGGCUCCGAGCCAGGACCCCAAAGGAGGGAGAGCUGGCCCCAUGGACUGCCUCACCCUGGCUCUCCUGCCCUGUGGCUUCUGGUUGAAUUCAGCCAAUGGGAGGCACCAGCAGAUAAUCUGAAGAUGGGAGGAGAGAGAGGCACCUCCAGCAACCUUGCUAGACCACAGUGCGGAGGAAGUCCCAUGAAGAAAUAAAGAACAUGUGGUGAAUCACAGAGAAGUGGCUGAAAAGAUUCAAGCCUCAACCUUGGUCCUCCCUAGUCACAUGACCACAGGCAAACCUCUUCUCUCUCAGCCUCAGUUUUUGCAUCAGUGCAAUAGGAAUGGUAUCUGCCAUGCUAACCUCACAGGACUGCUGUGUGUUCAGAUGAAUCAGGACAAGUGUUUCCAAAUACCCUGGCGACAUCACUUCAUUAAUGCUAAUGGGAAGUC
rnacentral:lncRNA from 1 species